rnacentral:tRNA from 1 species
AGGCACGUAGCUCAGGGGGAGAGCNNCGCUACCCUGACACGGUAGAGGUCAAGGGUUCAAAUCCCUUCGUGCCUACCA